UACCCACAGAUCUUCCAGAACAAAAAUCGGCGUGCACUUUGGAGGCAGCGAGAUCCACGUCUCUUAUUAAUAAGAGUGCCUGAUAUGCAGUGGGGAAGGCUGUUGGUUGCUGAGGGCAAAAAUAUCCAAGCGAAGCCGGUGUGCAGGCUGUUUCGGGGAACCACCAGGAGACCAGAGAUGGCAGCAGAUCCUUGUCAGCAGCAGCAGCAGCACCAGCGGUGCCAGGUAGACCAGGCGAGACUACGGAGUGACAUGGACCGGCUCUCAGAUAUGAUGACACAGUACUGAUGAAUGGAGGAUUCAGCACAGCUGGUGUUCUUCUGUGUCAAGCCAGAACAGCAUGUGGGCCCUACCAGUCCAAAGAAUUGAUGUCAGCAGAGUUCUGGGAAUAGCAUUUAGUGUUCUCAUCUGCUUCAGAGCCAGUGGAGAACAAAAAGGACCUUUGAGUCUUUGUAGAGUUUACAAUACACACCAGUGGCCAUAAACAUCAUUUAUUUACUUCUAAAGUUACUUGUCACACUGGUCUUUCUGGAAAAUAAAAAUAUACGUUUAUUUAAAACA